rnacentral:rRNA from 1 species
UACGUAGGGUGCGAGCGUUAAUCGGAAUUACUGGGCGUAAAGCGUGCGCAGGCGGUUAUUUAAGUCAGGUGUGAAAGCCCUGGGCUUAACCUAGGAAUGGCGCUUGAGACUGGAUAGCUUGGAGUGUGGCAGAGGGAGGUGGAAUUCCACGUGUAGCAGUGAAAUGCGUAGAGAUGUGGAGGAACACCGAUGGCGAAGGCAGCCUCCUGGGCCAGCACUGACGCUCAUGCACGCAAGCGUGGGGAGCAAACAGG